UUUCCUAUUUGUCUUUUGUUUUCUGUAACAAAAAAUUCUAACCACCAGAAUGUUCUCCCUCUUUGUAGAUGACAUUCAGCCUCCAGCGAGUCCUCAAACCUACAAGUUAUAUGUCCCUACCAGUCUGUGGCUUUAGCGGCUCCUCCUGCAGCUUACGAAGCUAGCACUCUGUUGAUACUCUGGCUGCUGAUACAGCUGUGAAUGAUACCUUUGCCGCUACCCAGGAGUCUCACGUCUUCUGCUAGAACCCAGAAACUAUGGCCGAUUGUUAGCUUGCAAGUAAGGUAAAAACUUCAUUUUCCUUAUAAUUUUUGACAUUCUUAACAUGUGAGAACUCAUUUGCUGUUGAUUCCUGAGUAUGUUCUUGUAUUGUUGACUUACAGUGUGUUCCAAGUUUAGGGAUAAUUUUGGUUUUCUCGAAGUACUUAUGCUCAACUAGAGCAUCUUCUAGAUCUUCAAGCUCAUGUCAUUUGAUAGUAGACAUUUAAAUGUUAUCUUCCCUCAAAUCUCUUGGUUAUAUUUUCUUUUUCCUGCCAAGAGUGAUAAAUAAGGUUUCGUG
rnacentral:lncRNA from 13 species